ACGGGGCAACACUGUAACGGGAAAUGCAACGCGCAGAUUGGUUGGCGCAAUAGUGUAGCCAAGGAAACCCCGAACACAAAUGUCAAAGCGGCCUGUCAGAAGCGAGCAACCGUUUUCAACAGAUGGUUUUGUGAUUUUUUUUUAAACCAAAAAUGUAGAAAAAACAAGAAUAAAACACAUUUCUUGAGGGAGUUUGAUGGGAAGUCCUCAUAAGAACUUCAUGCGCGCAUCAGGUAAGCCCAUAUUCCGUCAAAUACUUGCCGAAAUGUCCGGUUUGGAUUUUGAUGCUGUCUUUGAACACGCAAAAUGCAAAUUUUGCCCUUUCUAAACACGAUUAAUACACGCAAUGAUUACUAAAAAAUAAAAUUUAAAAGUCUGUGAAAAUGUUCCGUAUAAUACAGUUCAGUAUAGUACAUACUGUUCUACAUAUUGAUUGAAACAUAAAAAAUAUACUGGGUCACCCAAUGGAGGCAGCGCUGCGGCCCCGAGUUUUGCAGUUGUUGCGCUAAAAAACGUAAAACGCUCGAAAACGUGAUUUUUUUAUUUAAGAUUGACAACUUUUUGUUGCGGUACUUUCAACACUCUAACUUCAACCACUAGGCGAGAUUGUAGUUAUCCCCAACAUUUCUAAUAGGAUGAUGCUGAAUAAGUCGAUGAUGUCUUAUUUUCAAGAUAUUUUAAUCCCAUUUAGAAACCUACUUAAAUAUAAACGUUUCAAUGAUACGAUGUUGCAUCGGUACAAAAGAGUCAAGAACAAAGAGAAAAAAUCAUUCAAUAAGUCCCCAAAUAACUGAAUCAAGAAAGGAGGAAAAUGAGGGAUCGCCAGCUCAGAAAUGAACGAAAACAUUAAAAACAAGAAUCCAAAACUUACAACCAAAGCGAGAUGGCCAAACUAUAGAGAAUAAUAAAUGCUUGAAAGUUGAAUCAUUAUACAAGACUAACAGAGAGAAAAGGGCAAAUGAAGAUUCAUCUGAAGCACCUCUGAAGGGGCAUGCAUGCGAAACGCGAAUUUUUUUUUCAGCUUGCACUCCUUUCAAUGCCCGAAAAAUUUACCAGUUUUGGGGGCGAAGUUCUAGCGAUUUUUCACUUUGUAAUGAUUUUUUGCUCCAAAUCCAUGGAAAAAAUCCCCGAAACCCAUCGAUCAACAGUAGGAAAUAAUUAGAAAUUCCGAUAAAUGUACGCUACUGCUGUAGCCGGCCCCCCUGAAGUUCAGCCAGGUUUCACGGGCCACGAGGACAUCGUCCCGGAGGUCUAAACCUCGUUUCUUCCCAGCAUUUCCUGGACAAAUCCAGCUGGAUUUGUCCCUUAAUCUACCCUCCAACCAUGCCAGACUUACCGAAAUUCCUGCAGUCAGAAAGUGGUCACUCUCGCUGAACGAUGCGAAAUGAACCAGUAGAGAGCAAAAGUGAGCCAUUGGCGUGCAGACGAAAAUUUUGGAAAUUUAUCCAGAGAUAACAGUGUUUACUUGGCGCCUUUAUACGUGCAAAAAUUAGUGUUAUCUAAUUGCAAUUAGCAAAUAUGGAGCUUGAGUUAAAAUUA